UACAGAGGUCUCAAGCGUUGUUCGGAUUCAUUGGGCGUAAAGGGUGCGUAGGCGGCGCGGUAAGUCGGGUGUGAAAUCUCGGAGCUUAACUCCGAAACUGCAUUCGAUACUGCCGUGCUUGAGGACUGGAGAGGAGACUGGAAUUUACGGUGUAGCGGUGAAAUGCGUAGAUAUCGUAAGGAAGACCAGUGGCGAAGGCGGGUCUCUGGACAGUUCCUGACGCUGAUGCACGAAAGUGUGGGGAUCAAACAGG
rnacentral:rRNA from 1 species